rfam:Pan troglodytes isolate Yerkes chimp pedigree #C0471 (Clint) chromosome 7, whole genome shotgun sequence.
GCCAGGCGUGGUGGCGCAUGCCUGUAAUCCCAGCUACUUGGGAGGCUGAGGCAGGAGAAUCGCUUGAACCUGGGAGGCAGAGGUUGCAGUGAGCCACUAUUGUGCCAUUGCACUCCAGCCUGGGUGACAGAGUGAGACUCUGUCUCAA